rnacentral:rRNA from 1 species
UACGGAGGGUGCAAACGUUGCUCGGAAUCAUUGGGCGUAAAGCGCACGUAGGCGGCCUGACAAGUCGGGUGUGAAAGCCCUCGGCUCAACCGAGGAAGUGCACUCGAAACUGGCAAGCUUGAGUAUGGAAGAGGGUCGCGGAAUUCCCGGUGUAGAGGUGAAAUUCGUAGAUAUCGGGAGGAACACCAGCGGCGAAGGCGGCGACCUGGGCCAAUACUGACGCUGAGGUGCGAAAGCGUGGGGAGCAAACAGG